rnacentral:rRNA from 1 species
AACGAACGCUGGCGGCAGGCUUAACACAUGCAAGUCGAACGCCGUAGCAAUACGGAGUGGCAGACGGGUGAGUAACACGUGGGAACAUGCCCUUUGGUUCGGAAUAACUCAGGGAAACUUGAGCUAAUACCGGAUAUGUCCAAGGUUUUGCCUUGGAGAAAGAUUUAUCGCCGGAGGAUUGGCCCGCGUCUGAUUAGCUAGUUGGUGGGUAAGUGGCCCACCAAGGACAACGAUCAGUAGCUGGUCUGAGAGGAUGAUCAGCCACAUUGGGACUGAGACACGGCCCAAACUCCUACGGGAGGGCAGCAGUGGGGAAUAAUUGGACAAUAGGGCGCAAGCCUGAUCCAGCCAUGCCGCGUGAGUGAUGAAGGCCUUAGGGUUGUAAAGCUCUUUACCCGGGAAGA